rnacentral:rRNA from 1 species
GACGAACGCUGGCGGCGUGCCUAAUACAUGCAAGUCGAACGCUGAAGCGCGAAGCUUAUUCUUCUUGGCUGAGUUGCGAACGGGAGAGUCACGCGUGGGUACCCUGCCUUGUAGCGGGGGAUAACUAUUGGAAACGAUAGCUAAUACCGCAUGACAAUGGAUGGCACAUGUCCUUUAUUUGAAAUGGGCAAUUGCUCCACUACCAGAUGGCCUUGCAUUGUAUUAGCUAGUAGGUGAGGUAAUGGCUCACCUAGGCGACGAGACAGAGCCGAACGGAGAGGGUGAUCAGCCGCACUGGGACGGCGACAGGGCCCAGACUCCCACGGGAGGCAGCAGUAGGGAAACGGCGGCAAUCAGGGGAACCCUGUCCGAGCUACGCCGAGUGCUGGAAGAAGGUCUCCGGGUCGUAAAUCACUGCCUUAAGGCUAGAAAGGGCGUGAGGCAGGAAAGUACACACUGUGACGGUAGCUGACGAGAAAGCGACGGCUAACUACGUG